rnacentral:lncRNA from 1 species
CUAGUUUGGGAGAUCACCUUCUUGAAACUCCGAAUAAAGAGCUUAUUGUACAUAAUGCUGCGGAAUCUUCAUUAGUAGCUGAAGUGAAAGAGAAGCAAUAUGCAGAUCCUAUUUUAUUAUAGCUUAAGGAGAACGUUCAGAGUGGUGUGACCAAGGCAUUUGAGCUUACGCGAGAAGGAGUACUUCAGUGCCAAAACCGAUUAUGUGUGCCGGA